rnacentral:rRNA from 1 species
AACGUAGGAGGCAAGCGUUAUCCGGAAUUACUGGGCGUAAAGGGCGUCUAGGCGGAUGAGCAAGCGCGAUGUGAAAGCUCCUGGCUCAACUGGGAGAGUGCGUAGCGAACUGCUUGACUAGAGGCCAGGCGAUGGGGGUGGAAUUCCCGGUGGAGUGGUGAAAUGCGUAGAGAUCGGAAAGAACACCAACGGCGAAAGCACUCUGCUGGGCCGACACUGACACUGAGAGACGAAAGCUAGGGGAGCGAAUGGG